AGUGAACGUUGGCGGCGUGGAUUAGGCAUGCAAGUCGAGCGAUCGUAGCAAUACGGGAGCGGCAAACGGGGUAGGAAUACAUCGGAACGUACCUUUUGGUUGAGAAUAGCGUUGGGAAACUGACGGUAAUACUCAAUAAAGUCGAGAGACCAAAGGUUUACUGCCGGAAGAGCGGCCGAUGCGAUAUUAGGUAGUUGGUGGGGUAAUGGCCUACCAAGCCUGAGAUGUCUAGGGGGUGUGCGAGCAUGGCCCCCACCACUGGGACUGAGAUACUGCCCAGACACCUACGGGUGGCUGCAGUCGAGGAUCUUCGUCAAUGGGCGAAAGCCUGAACGAGCGACGCCGCGUGCGGGAUGAAGGCCCUUGGGUUGUAAACCGCUGUCAGGGGGGAUGAAACCGUAAGGUUGACAGAGCCCCAGAGGAAGCACGGGCUAAGUUCGUGCCAGCAGCCGCGGUAAU
rnacentral:rRNA from 1 species